CACGUAGGGGGCGAGCGUUGUCCGGAUUUAUUGGGCGUAAAGAGCUCGUAGGCGGUUCGAUAAGUCGGGUGUGAAAACUCUGGGCUCAACUCAGAGACGCCACCCGAUACUGUUGUGACUUGAGUCCGGAGAGGAGAGUGGAAUUCCUGGUGUAGCGGUGAAAUGCGCAGAUAUCAGGAAGAACACCCGUGGCGAAAGCGGCUCUCUGGAACGGUACUGACGCUGAGACGCGAAAAGCGUGGGGAGCGAACAGG
rnacentral:rRNA from 1 species